GACGAACGCUGGCGGCGUGCUUAACACAUGCAAGUCGAACGGAAAGGCCCUGCUUUUGUGGGGUGCUCGAGUGGCGAACGGGUGAGUAACACGUGAGUAACCUGCCCUUGACUUUGGGAUAACUUCAGGAAACUGGGGCUAAUACCGGAUAGGAGCUCCUGCUGCAUGGUGGGGGUUGGAAAGUUUCGGCGGUUGGGGAUGGACUCGCGGCUUAUCAGCUUGUUGGUGGGGAAGUGGCUUACCAAGGCUUUGACGGGUAGCCGGCCUGAGAGGGUAACCGGCCACAUUGGGACUGAGAUACGGCCCAGACUCCUACGGGAGGCAGCAGUGGGGAAUAUUGCACAAUGGGCGGAAGCCUGAUGCAGCAACGCCGCGUGCGGGAUGACGGCCUUCGGGUUGUAAACCGCUUUCGCCUGUGACGAAGCGUGAGUGACGGUAAUGGGUAAAGAAGCACCGGCUAACUACGUG
rnacentral:rRNA from 1 species